rnacentral:rRNA from 1 species
UACGUAGGUGACCAGCGUUGUCCGGAUUUACUGGGCGUAAAGAGCGCGCAGGCGGUCGUUCAAGUCGAGUGUGAAAGCCCCCGGCUCAACUGGGGAGGGUCACUCGAUACUGAUCGACUGGAAGGCAGGAGAGGGAAGCGGAAUUCCCGGUGUAGUGGGUGAAAUGCGUAGAUAUCGGGAGGAACACCAGUGGCGAAGGCGACUACCUGGCCUGUUCUUGACGCUGAGGCGCGAAAGCUAGGGGAGCAAACGGG